CAACCCUCAAGCACCGCUUGGCGUUGGCGGCCUACUUGCUCUGUCUCAGACGCUGUAGCCGCCCAAAUACAUUGGCGGUCCCGCCGUGGCUCCCCUUGCGUAGUAACUCAACCUCGCACCGGGUCCAGGCGGUGGCCUGCCGUAAAAUAAAACUUCUAUCAAAA
rnacentral:misc_RNA from 2 species